UCGGUCGGGCAGCGCGGGUGGGAGCUUGGAACGAGCCGUGCCGCCUUCCUAGCGCGGGCGCUGUGACACGGGGCUGAGCCCGGGAUCCUGCGGGCAGCCGCUUUGUUCUUCUAAAAGCUGACCCGGCACGGAGCGGCCCGCAUCUGCUUCCCUGCGCUUUCCCCUCUCUCUGAGAAGGGUGCGGCACGUUACAUAUGGUUGAAGCAUGUCAACAACUUGGCUUGGAAGGGCAUAUCCUAAAGACUCGCACAAUUACAUAAUUAUUUAUUAUAUACCUCUGCAUUUUGUCAAGUUGCAUGCCCACAGGACUAAGGGUGACUUGGUGUAAGUAACGUGAGGCAGAGCAGCAUUUUGCAUUGGACACUGGAAGUGACUAAGAAUCCUCAGUCUGCCCUUCUCUUCGAAUGCAAGCUUGCUCUCCUUCGCUACACUCAGUUGUAAUUCUGGAGGUGGUACUAAUUCAGCAACAGAGUUGGCUCAGUAUGAAAUCCAUUCUGAGAAUGUACUGUGCUCCUAUAUCACUUGGGCAUCACUUACGCUGCUUUUCAUGUACUGCUGUUAAACACAGUGCCUGGAUGUGACUGAUCCAACGUGCUACCCAAAAGCCCUGAUCAUAUUGAAGAAGAGAAGGCUCCGGGGAGACGUCGUGGCCUUGUAAGGGAGGCAUAUAAACAGCAAAAUCUGCCAGUCAGGGCAAAUUACACGAGUGAUUCUGUGGAGGCUGAAGCGGGAUCGCUGAACUCAUUGUCACGCGUGGCUAAACAGAGAACUGAGCCUUGUGAAAGAGCUCUGUGAUAGAUGGACCCAUGGCCUGAUCCAACACUGAAGUUUGUACGUAACUUUCUUACACCAAAGUCAGGGUUAAAUAAAUGAAGUUAUUAACUGCUACAACACAUUUGUAACUUUCAAGCUGCCCAAGUAAUCAUAAUGUUACAGCAAGUUAGGGCUGGAAGAGGCCUUAAGAGUCAACUAAUCCAUCCCCUGUUCCAUGGUUAGCAAAAUCAAUUACGUUCAUGUCUUUACAGACAAAUUUGUCUAUCCUGUUCCCACAGCUUUCAGUGAUGGAGACUCAACAGCUUCCAUAAGCAAUCUAUUUAAAGUCUCACUAUUCAUACAAUGAGAAAGAUUUUUUUUCCUGUCUAACUGGAAUCUAAUCAGCUGUUGUUUGCUGUAAACCAUUAGUUAACUGCAAGUCUGAGCUAAGAUGAGAGGCGUCCUAGACUUCUGAUGAAUGUUGUCUAGUGACUUUAGUGACUCUGGAAAUAGCCUGGAAGCGGGGCUGGUUUUCAGUAGAGCUAUCAGUUCGUUGUACUUUGCUUAAUAUGUCCAAGCACAAUUAGGAUCCUUUUAGGGAUUUUCAGGUUAUUUUAAUGUCUUAUCUCUUUAGCAUUUUUUUGGCCUCAGGGAAUCAGAAAGCGUGCUUUCUAAACACAACGUGCUUUGACUUUACUUUAGGGAGGGCGAGUUGAAAGGGGUGUCUUCAGAAAGAGCAGGACAAAAAGUGUUUGGUUGUUUGUUUUUUCAAGAUGACUAAAAACCGGCAUGUAGUAUUUUAUUGUUUUUUCUUCUUGUUUGUUUUUUGCUGUGGCAUCUAAAUGCUGGUUUUGCCAAUAAAUUUACUGAAUUAUG